GAUGAACGCUGGCGGCGUGCCUAAUACAUGCAAGUCGAGCGAACGGACGAGAAGCUUGCUUCUCUGAUGUUAGCGGCGGACGGGUGAGUAACACGUGGAUAACCUACCUAUAAGACUGGGAUAACUUCGGGAAACCGUAGCUAAUACCGGAUAAUAUUUUGAACCGCAUGGUUCAAAAGUGAAAGACGGUCUUGCUGUCACUUAUAGAUGGAUCCGCGCUGCAUUAGCUAGUUGGUAAGGUAACGGCUUACCAAGGCAACGAUGCAUAGCCGACCUGAGAGGGUGAUCGGCCACACUUGAACUGAGACACGGUCCAGAAUCCUACGGGAGGCAGCGGUAGGUAAUCUUCCGCAAUGGGCGAAAGCCUGACGGAGCAACGCCGCGUGAGUGAUGAAGGUCUUCGGAUCGUAAAACUCUGUUAUUAGGGAAGAACAUAUGUGUAAGUAACUGUGCACAUCUUGACGGUACCUAAGCAGAAAGCCACGGCUAACUACGU
rnacentral:rRNA from 1 species